rnacentral:rRNA from 1 species
UACGGAGGGUGCAAGCGUUAAUCGGAAUUACUGGGCGUAAAGCGUGCGCAGGCGGUUUGUUAAGUCCGCUGUGAAAUCCCCGAGCUCAACUUGGGGAUUGCAGUGGAUACUGGCAAGCUGGAGUAUGGUAGAGGAAGGUGGAAUUCCCGGUGUAGCAGUGAAAUGCGUAGAGAUCGGGAGGAACACCAGUGGCGAAGGCGGCCUUCUGGACCAAUACUGACGCUCAUGCACGAAAGCGUGGGGAGCAAACAGG